rnacentral:tRNA from 1 species
GCGCCAGUGGCGAAAUUGGCAGACGCACCAGCUUGAGGGGCUGGCGCCCGAAAGGGCAUGAUGGUUCAAGUCCAUUCUGGCGCACCA